CACAGCGGUAGUUCAUGCCUUUUAUUUUUGCCCAGUAAGUGUUGACUUAGUUUUAGAUUAUUCGCAUUUUUCUAAUAAGUUUAAUUCUAAUUUAGCAAAAUAAUUACAAUUAUGUACAUUUAAAAUGUCUAUGGUUGAACCAAAACUAUCGCAGAGAAAUUGGUUGCAUGAUAUAUCAACCCACUGAUUCAGACUGUAUAUAUUUAUAUAUAUGCUACAUACUAUAUACAUAUCAUCCUAUAGUUAGAAUAUUUCCCUGUACUUAUCUGGCAUCGGUGAUAUGCUAUAUUCCAUCAACUUGAUUGAAAACCGACUCUCCUGACAGAUUCAGUCCAUAUUUUCUUUCAUAUAUUGUUGUAAAGCGUUCAAUCUUGCAUCUAUUUCCGAGAUUUCCACCGACCUGUUUAGUGAGUUAUCAAGUGCCUUGCCACCU